GAGUUUGAUCAUGGCUCAGGAUGAACGCUAGCGGCAGGCUUAACACAUGCAAGUCGAGGGGCAUCGGGAGGGAAGCUUGCUUUCCUUGCCGGCGACCGGCGCACGGGUGAGUAACACGUAUGCAACCUGCCCUCUUCAGGGGGACAACCUUCCGAAAGGGAGGCUAAUCCCGCGUAUAUCGGUUUCGGGCAUCCGAGAUCGAGGAAAGAUUCAUCGGAAGAGGAUGGGCAUGCGGCGCAUUAGCUUGACGGCGGGGUAACGGCCCACCGUGGCGACGAUGCGUAGGGGUUCUGAGAGGAAGGUCCCCCACACUGGUACUGAGACACGGACCAGACUCCUACGGGAGGCAGCAGUGAGGAAUAUUGGUCAAUGGGAGAGAUCCUGAACCAGCCAAGCCGCGUGAGGGAAGACGGCCCUAUGGGUUGUAAACCUCUUUUGUCGGAGAACAAAACCCGGGACGUGUCCCGGACUGCGUGUAUCCGAAGAAAAAGCAUCGGCUAACUCCGUGCCAGCAGCCGCGGUAAUACGGAGGAUGCGAGCGUUAUCCGGAUUUAUUGGGUUUAAAGGGUGCGUAGGCGGUCCGUUAAGUCAGCGGUAAAAUUGCGGGGCUCAACCCCGUCGAGCCGUUGAAACUGGCAGACUUGAGUUGGCGAGAAGUACGCGGAAUGCGCGGUGUAGCGGUGAAAUGCAUAGAUAUCGCGCAGAACUCCGAUUGCGAAGGCAGCGUACCGGCGCCAGACUGACGCUGAGGCACGAAAGCGUGGGGAUCGAACAGGAUUAGAUACCCUGGUAGUCCACGCAGUAAACGAUGAAUGCUGGUUGUCCGGGUCGAAUGAGAUCUGGGCGGCGAAGCGAAAGCGAUAAGCAUUCCACCUGGGGAGUACGCCGGCAACGGUGAAACUCAAAGGAAUUGACGG
rnacentral:rRNA from 1 species